rnacentral:sRNA from 1 species
GGCGGACGACACCUGUGCUCCGCAGAGCAGAACGUGGGAGGAACGGCGGGAUGUUAAGGUAGGAGCUCAAGAAGCAGAGAGUCUACCUGCCCGACGCGUACGUGGAGAGGAGCAGCGGUUGCUGUUGGAGGAGGUGGGUGCAAGGACGGCAGAUGGCAUCCCUGAGAGGUGGUGACUGAGACUAGAUGCGGGUGCAGGUUCCUGUAGAGAUCUGUAUGUAGCUGUUCACUUGGAAGUUAAUUAAGAAAGAACAAAAACUAUUCAUUUGGAUUCAAGGUCCAUCUCCACUGGUGGCUGUGGUGGCUUUGGAUUG